rnacentral:rRNA from 1 species
AGCGAACGCUGGCGGCAGGCCUAACACAUGCAAGUCGAGCGCCCCGCAAGGGGAGCGGCAGACGGGAGAGUAACACGUGGGAACGUACCCUUCGGUUCGGAACAACCCAGGGAAACUUGGGCUAAUACCGGAUACGUCCGAAAGGAGAAAGAUUUAUCGCCGAGGGAUCGGCCCGCGUCUGAUUAGCUAGUUGGUGGGGUAAUGGCCCACCAAGGCGACGAUCAGUAGCUGGUCUGAGAGGAUGAUCAGCCUCACUGGGACUGAGACACGGCCCAGACUCCUACGGGAGGCAGCAGUGGGGAAUAUUGGACAAUGGGCGCAAGCCUGAUCCAGCCAUGCCGCGUGGGUGAUGAAGGCCCUAGGGUUGUAAAGCCCUUUCGGCGGGGAAGAUAAUGACGGUACCCGCAGAAGAAGCCCCGGCUAACUUCGUGCCAGCCGCCGCUGUAAAAC